rnacentral:lncRNA from 1 species
UAGCCUAUGUGGACUAGUAGAUAUUGUAGCACGGGUUAAUGAGGGUUGACCACAGACUUAUCAUAGUACUUAUAAUUAUAUUUGAAUGGAUUUGGACCUUGAACCUAACGAGGAUGUCUGGACUUAAAUGGAGUGAGUAUCUAAAGAUCGAUGUGGACGUAUGUUUAGUCCCACAUUGGCUAUGCACUAGGUAGAUUUUGGAGACUUACAAGACCAAGAAAUCCAAAUAAUAUUUUUUGGCUAGCCUUUUUAGGUGAGGUACUGUGUUGUAACAUUUUGUGACCCUCUCACUCUUUGAGCACUCUUGCUUAUUAGAUCUUCCUUAUAUAUAUAUAUAUGUGUGUGUGUGUGGAAUUUGGCCACCCAUCAAUCAGUGCUAAAUCCUUCUGCAACAUCUACAAAAGGCACUACCUUAAAGAUGGUAUAUCGAGUGUGCACUCCUUCGUUCUUGAGUCAUAAAGGUCAGGCACUUGUCUAGGCACUUCAGGAGAAGUCUUUUAAAAGAGGGGAAAAGGAUUCUAGCCCCACCUACUAGGCUGGGUUCCUCUUAAAUUUCUUGACAGCCUACCGAUGUAUAUCUGUAUGCAUAUCAUUAUAUAAAUGCAUGCAUGCAUGCAUGCAUUUUUAUGUAUAUGUAUAUGUAUACAUAUAUGUAUACGUAGAUAUAUGUAUGUAUAUGUAUGCAUGCAUUGCAUUUGUGUAUGCAUGUACUAUAAAUAAUCUUACUAAGCCAUGAUAAAAAUCACAUAUCGAUUCUUUGACAAAGGAGGCACUGUUUGCCCUAUGUCUAGAACUAUUCAGAGGUUUAAAAAUCCCAGAAAAUUAAAGGUCUUAUGUGUUUGGCGGUUAGAAAUAAAUGACAUAUAAAGAGGUGCUUUGGCUUGGAAAGGUUAGCCAGGUAGCAUGAUCUAUAUCUUGUGCAAGAUAUCUUUAGAGAAUAGAAGGGAGACCUCUCAACUCGUGUUUUGGCUAAGCUUCUCUUUUCUUCUUUUUUCCCUCAGUUGAAUGGGUGUCAAGUGUUGCUAUCGUUUUCAAGUGUUUCUAUUUAUAUUUACUUUACUAAAAAAUGGUUUAUAUCUCAAUGAAGUAGGGUAGGUUUUCCUGCAUUGCUAUUUUAUCUUUUUUUACUUAAUUAUGCAUUUUAAAAUUGAAUUAUCUUUGAAUGAUUUUUCAUGGAAUUUUAAAAUUUAAUUAUCUUUGAAUGAUUUAUGGAAAUUGAUCAGAUUGUGAGUGUGCAUGUUCCAAGAUUUUCUUAGUGGCUUGUUAUAAAAUUAGUCAGAUAUACACGGAAGAAAUAUAUGCUGCUUCAAGUGAAUCUCUUGAAUGAUUUGAAUAUAUAACAUAAUAACUUUUAAAUAUAGUUACCAUUUAUUCAGACAAACCAGUGGGUGGUUCGGAGCGCCACCCAGCAU